rnacentral:rRNA from 1 species
UGGGACGAAGCCCUUCGGGGUGUAAACCACUGUCAAGAGAUAGAAAAGUUCUGAUCAUCUCUAGAGGAGGGCACGGCUAACUCUGUGC